rfam:Oryza brachyantha chromosome 9, whole genome shotgun sequence.
AAUAAGAUCAUUUUUCAGUUUUUUGAUACAAUGUUUCGACUCUUCGUCUUAUUUGAAAUUUUUUUGCGAUUAAUAUUUUUAUUCUUACUAGAUGAUAACACAUGAAUAGUACUUUAUGCAUGACUAUUUUUUUUAAGUUUUUGUACAAAUUUUUCAAAUAAGACGUAUGGUCAAACGUUGGACACGGAAAAACAAAAAUGAGGUUAUU